UUUUUUAAUUGAAAACUUGUAUGAAAGGUUUCACGAAAUAUUAACUGUUUCAUAAAAAUUUAUAUAGAAAUUAAUUUUUUAGUUAAAAAGCUAAAAUAAAAUUAAAAGACGAGAAGACCCUAUAGAUUUUUAUAUUUUAUUUUAUAUAAUUUAUUUAAAAUAAUUAAAAUUUUAUAAAAUAAAAUAUUUUGUUGGGGUGACAGUAAAAUUUUACAAUCUUUUAUUUAUUUUUAACAAUGAUAUUUGAUUUAUUGAUCCAUUAUUAAUGAUUAAAAGAUUAAAUUACCUUAGGGAUAACAGCGUAAUUUUUUUAUAGAGUUCAUAUCGAAAAAGAAUUUUGC
rnacentral:rRNA from 1 species